rnacentral:rRNA from 1 species
UUGGCUCAGGAUGAACGCUGGCGGCGUGCUUAACACAUGCAAGUCGAACGAAGCACUUUAAUUGAUUUCGUCGGAAUGAAGUUUUUGUGACUGAGUGGCGGACGGGUGAGUAACGCGUGGGUAACCUGCCUCAUACAGGGGGAUAACAGUUGGAAACGACUGCUAAUACCGCAUAAGCGCACAGGAUUGCAUGAUCCAGUGUGAAAAACUCCGGUGGUAUGAGAUGGACCCGCGUCUGAUUAGCCAGUUGGCGGGGUAACGGCCCACCAAAGCGACGAUCAGUAGCCGACCUGAGAGGGUGACCGGCCACAUUGGGACUGAGACACGGCCCAAACUCCUACGGGAGGCAGCAGUGGGGAAUA